rnacentral:lncRNA from 1 species
GUGGCGGUGGCGGGCAUGGGCAACUUCGAUGGUGGUCGUGUUUGGUGGGCUUACUAACGUCAAUGCAGGAUGAUGUGCGGUUUAGGUGGUGUGGAGCUUCGUGAAAACCAUGUCCUCACUUCGUGCCGUGACCAGCGAUGGCGGCGGCUGUGGUCGUCGUUGACCUUCUUGGAGGCAUCAUUGCUUGUUCUCCCACUCAUCCAGCACGGAUCUGGCCUUUUCGGUCUCUCUGGAGAAACCUUGAUCUGUGAUCGGACGAUGACGACGCCUUGGUGUCGUAUUCCCUCUUGAGGGCUUCGUUUUGGGAGCUUGGCAUCGGUGAGUGGGACCGCUGGACGGCGGUUGGUGGCGGGUGUGGCGUCCAGACUUCUGUGGCAACGAUGAGGGUGGGAGCAAUGGUUGCGGUAGUCGGCUCUUCCUCGGCGUGUCCACGGUUUUGCCUCGGUUUGUUUGUUGCUAUGGAGUCGAAGCUGCGGCGGAGGGGGCUGCGGUAUACGAUGACUGGCUGCGGAUAGCCCGUUCGGUGGUCCUUCGUGGCGCCAGCCAUGCCUGGUUUUGUCCUUCAAAGUUCUCCGUCAGAGUCGGAGCUGCGUUGUUUGGUUGUAGGUCGACGUGUCAGUCUAUGAGAGUGGGCUAGGCCCUUGUUGUAUCGGUUUUUGCCUAGUUUUUGGUGAUUAACUGGGCAAUUCUCUUCUACUUAUUUAAUAGAUGAGGCAAUCUUUGCCUCCGUUUAAAAAAAAGCUAGUCCGAUUUUGAGAAGAUGGAGUGAAACAAAAUAAUAGUUCGAAUGCGAUUGGGAAACUUUCACCAUAGCUGCAUGUAAUUUAUGUUCGUGCGGUUAUAGGGCUCUCUCUUUCUGUUUCAAGGAGGCUGAAAGCCCACAGUCGCCCAAACCUAAGCUUGUUGGAACUCAGCUCUCAGAUCGAUCACAUCAAAUUAUGAUGAACACAUGCAUACAAAAUUAUUUUGCCAAGGGUACG